rnacentral:rRNA from 1 species
GGCUUAUUGAAUUAUAAUUUUAAGUCUAUCUGCCCAAUGAUGUAAAAAAUUUAAUGGCUGCAGUAUAACUGACUGUACAAAGGUAGCAUAAUCAAUUGUUUUUUAAUUAAAAACUGGUAUGAAAGAAUUAAUGAGAUAUAUUCUGUCUCAUAUAUAUAUUAUAAAAUUAAAUUUUUAGUAAAAAUGCUAAAAUUAAUUUAUGGGACGAUAAGACCCUAUAGAAUUUUAUAUUGAUAUUUUAAUUAAAAUUAAUUUAAAAUAUUAAUAUUUUAUUGGGAGGAUAAAUAAAUUAAAAUAACUUUAUUUUAAAUUAAAACUUUAAUUUAAGAAUAUUUUUUUGAUCUUUUAUUAUGAAUUAUAAGAAUAAAUUACCUUAGGGAUAACAGCGUAAUAUCUUUUUAAAGAUCAUAUUGAUAAAGAUGGUUGCGACCUCGAUGUUGAAUUAAGAUAAAUUUUAAAUGGAGAAAUUUAAUAAUUAAGUCUGUUCGACUUUUAAUAUCUU